GACGAACGCUGGCGGCGUGCUUAACACAUGCAAGUCGAACGAAGUGGCGAACGGGUGAGUAACGCGUAAUCAACCUGCCCUUCAGAGGGGGACAACAGUUGGAAACGACGGAUAAUACCGCAUACUGAAGGAGGGGAUUGCGUCUGAUUAGGUGGUUGGAGGGGUAACGGCCCACCAAGGCGAUGAACAGUAGCCGGUCUGAGAGGAUGAACGGCCACAUUGGGACGUAGACACGGCCCAGACUCCUACGGGAGGCAGCAGUGGGGACUCUUCCGGAAUGGACGAAAGUCUGACGGAACAACGCCGCGUGAGUGAUGACCGCCUUCGGGUUGUCAAGCUCUGUUAAUCGGGACGCGGUACCGGAAUAGAAAGCCACGGCUAACUACGUGCCAGCAGCCGCGGUAAUUC
rnacentral:rRNA from 1 species